GUGUGUUACUGUUCGGCUGGGUCUUACCUCUUGGUGAGCCGGUUCGUAUCCUUCAUUGGGUGCGGGUCGGCGGAACCAGGACUUUUACCUUGAGAAUAAUUAGAGUGUUCACAAGCAGGCCUAUGCCCGAAUACAUUAGCAUGGAAUAAUAGACAUAGGACGUGCGGUUCUAUUCUUGUUGGUUUCUAGAGUCGCCGUAAAUGAUUAAUAGGUGAUAGUUGCCGGGGCAUUGGGUUAUUCAGUCGCUAUGAGGUGAAUAUUCUUGGAUUGACUGAAGACCGACUACUGCGAAAGCAUCUGCCAAGGAUGUUACUUCAUUAAUCACAGAACGAAGGUUAGGUGGAUCGAACCAACGAUCAGAUACCGUUGUAGUCUUAACAGUAAUUACUAUGCCG
rnacentral:rRNA from 1 species